CCUUUGUCUGGUGAGAUGAAGUUAGGCUGUGUCAGAUGGGAGCUUGUCCGUGUGUGUGUAUGGGGCGUGUGUGUGUGUGUGGGUGGGUGGGUGGGUGGGUGUGUUUGUAUGAGUGUGUGUGUGAGUGUGUGUGUGGAUAGAUGUAUUACAUCACGGAGGUGUAUGGAUACACGUAUGCCUGUACCUACACUGAAAAGGCAAU
rnacentral:lncRNA from 1 species